rnacentral:rRNA from 1 species
UGAUACGCGAGGAACCGUUACCUGGGCUUAAAUGCAGAGUGCAUGAAGUGGGAACACUUCUUCCCUUCGGGGCUCUUUGCAAGGUGCUGCAUGGUUGUCGUCAGCUCGUGCCGUGAGGUGCCGGGUUAAGUCCCAUAACGAGCGCAACCCUUAUCGUUAGUUGCCAGCGGGUAAAGCCGGGAACUCUAGCGAAACUGCCGGUGUAAACCGAGAGGAAGGUGGGGAUGACGUCAAAUCAGCACGGCCCUUAUGUCCAGGGCUACACACGUGUUACAAUGGCCGGUACAGAGGGCAGCUACCUGGAGACAGGAUGCGAAUCUCGAAAGCCGGUCUCAGUUCGGAUCGGAGUCUGCAACUCGACUGCGUGAAGUCGGAAUCGCUAGUAAUCGUGGAUCAGAAUGUCACGGUGAAUACGUUCCCGGGUCUU